rnacentral:misc_RNA from 1 species
UGCUUCGGCAUCGAACCGUCCGCGCACGCACCACGUCAGUGACGCAGCAAGACUUUCUUGCGCUAUACGGAGAUUCCUGUAUUUGCUACCUACGCUUAAAGGAACGGUGCCGCUCGCUACCCUUUCCUUYCCCGAGCAUGCGCUCGCGGGGAGGACAUCGUAGUAGCGCCUGUGCCCCUCGCAUCGAGCAUGCCGCAAGGCGCGCACUUUGCGACGGUUCUCGGGUUGCUACUUGAUGGUUCGGAUACGGAACAUUCGGUGGGCUUGGGUGUCUCGACACCUUUCGAUGUCCAAAUUCAAGCGUUUUGUCGCUAGACAUGUACGACUGCCACGCUCGYCGCGGGUCUCCYGCGCGGUGCGUGGCGUCGGCAAAGGAAUGCUACCUGGUU